GUAACAACUCACCUGCCGAAGCAACUAGCCCUGAAAAUGGAUGGCGCUCUAGCGUCGUGCCUAUACCGGGCUGUCAACGGCAAAGUGGGCUGGUGCCAGGCCGGUUAACGCCGGCCUGCUCGGCCGUUAAGCCUUGACAAGUAGGAGGCGCGCGGCGGUGCGCGCAGAAGGGUCUGGGCGUGAGCCUGCCUGGAGCCGCCGUCGGUGCAGAUCUUGGUGGUAGUAGCAAAUACUCUAGCGAGGGCCUGGAGGGCUGAUGUGGAGAAGGGUUUCUUGUGAACAGCCGUUGCACAAGAGUCAGUCGACCCUAAGCCCUAGGAGAAAUCCGAUGUUGAUGGGCAGCGAUCACUCGGGCUGGUUUGUUGUCGCGGUUCGACCGCGCACGGCCUACCGACUGCUCCCGUCGGGCGAAAGGGAAUCCGGUUCCUAUUCCGGAACCCGGCUGCGGAACCGUCACUUCGCGGGCACUCGCCUGCGAGCGCUCGUCGGGGUAACCCAAAAUGACCCGGAGACGCCGGCGGGAGGUCUGGAAAGAGUUGUCUUUUCUUUAUAAGCGUUCGAGUUCCCUGGAAUCCUAUAGCAGGGAGAUAGGGUUUGGAACGCGAAGAGCACCGCAGUUGCGGCGGUGUCCGGACCUUCCCCCCGGACCUUGAAAAUCCGGGUGAGGGCUACGCGGAAAUGUCGCGCCGGCUCGUACCCAUAUCCGCAGCAGGUCUCCAAGGUUAAGAGCCUCUAGUCGAUAGAAUAAUGUAGGUAAGGGAAGUCGGCAAAUU
rnacentral:rRNA from 1 species